rnacentral:rRNA from 1 species
GUCCACGCCGUAAACGAUGAUAACUAGCUGUUCGGGCUCUACGAGCUUGAGUGGCGCAGCUAACGCAUUAAGUUAUCCGCCUGGGGAGUACGGUCGCAAGAUUAAAACUCAAAGGAAUUGACGGGGGCCUGCACAAGCGGUGGAGCAUGUGGUUUAAUUCGAAGCAACGCGCAGAACCUUACCAGCGUUUGACAUCCUAAUCGCGGUUUUCAGAGAUGAUUACCUUCAGUUCGGCUGGAUUAGUGACAGGUGCUGCAUGGCUGUCGU